GAUGAACGCUGGCGGCGUGCCUAAUACAUGCAAGUCGAGCGAACAGACGAGGAGCUUGCUCCUUUGACGUUAGCGGCGGACGGGUGAGUAACACGUGGGUAACCUACCUAUAAGACUGGGAUAACUUCGGGAAACCGGAGCUAAUACCGGAUAAUAUUUCGAACCGCAUUGUUCGAUAGUGAAAGACGGCUUUGCUAUCACUUAUAGAUGGACCUGCGCCGUAUUAGCUAGUUGGUAAGGUAACGGCUUACCAAGGCAACCAUACGUAGCCGACCUGAGAGGGUGAUCGGCGACACUGGAAGUGAGACACGGUCCAGACUCCUACGGGAGGCAGCAGUAGGGAAUCGUCCGCAAUGGGCGAAAGCCUGACGGAGCAACGCCGCGUGAGUGAUGAAGGUCUUCGGAUCGUAAAACUCGGUUAUUAGGGAAGAACAAACGUGUAAGUAACUGUGCACGUCUUGACGGUACCUAAUCAGAAAGCCCCGGCUAACUACGUG
rnacentral:rRNA from 1 species